AUUAAUUUUUUGUUCCAUCUCCCUAGCUAUCCAUGUGCUUGCAGAAUUAAUUAAUUGCUGGAAGACAGUUCUGUGGAGUAAGAUUGCAAAAGUCUGAAGUAACUGUAUUCUUGAAUGCUUCCCACUUGUAAGCAAAAAUUGAAUUACUUCCUAACGUCAAAUAUCAGAGUAAGAUGUGUCAGUACGAGUGUGACGACAGAUUGACGCAACAAACCGAAGACAGCAAACAAGAUGUUUUACCUACGUUUGCCUCUGCAAGUAUAGUUAUUGGGAUUUAUGGUCAGAAAUUGUAAACUUUUCCAAAAAAUUGACAAUCCUAAAAGGAGACGACAAUAAAAUGAAAAAUAAAAAUCAUAAAUGGAAGAUGCAAUGAUGUCAAGGAUCACAAAUUUGUGAAACAACAAAUUUGUGAAAAUUAAAAGAAGAAUAGGAAGAGCAGUUUAAGUCUGACCUCAUCCAAAAUGUUGGAUGCCUCAUCAUGCAGUGAAUACUUUUUUGGUGUUCUGUUAAAUUUGCUGUAAAUAAUAUUCUAUUGUAAGAACGAUAAAAAUAUUCUAGAAAUAACUACAAUAGAGCUCUUAUACCUAAAAAUGUGAGUAUUGUUAAAUGUUUACGUAAACUUUCCUUCAAUUCUCUGUUAUGUCGUUCGUUUAUAUUGUUUGUUCUGUGUAAUUGUUUAUAUACGCAGAGCGAACAUGUUUUAAAAUUGUUGAUCCAUGUUUGUAAUAAUUAAAAAAUGUUUCUAAAUAUGUACAUUUAUCAAAAAUAACUUUGGUGAUUAUAUUAAAACCUUCUUCUAUGUAUAA